rnacentral:rRNA from 1 species
GUAAUAGUUAUGUUCUUGAAACCCAAAGGAUUUGGCGGUAUUUUAGUCUUUUCAGAGGAACCUGCCCCUUAAUUCGACACCCCACGAUUCAAUUUACUUUUGUUUGUAUUAUCAGUUUGUAUAUCUCCGUCAUAAGAGAGUCUUUUUAGAGUAAAUUUUCCUUUUCUUUAAAUAAGAAUAUGUCAGGUCAAGGUGCAAUUUAUACAAAAGUGGAGGUGGGUUACAAUAUAUUUAUAUACAUGGAUUAAUAUUUCUAUAAUAUUAUGAAGGUGGAUUUGAUAGUAAGAUUAAUUGUUAAUUAAUCUGAUUUUAGCUCUAAAAUAUGCACACAUCGCCCG